AAGAGCAGAUACAAGUGUUAGGAAGUGACAUCUUGUCAUACAGGCAUUCUCUGGACACUGUCUCCCGGGGUCCUGCUGCUGCUGACGGCCCCUCCCCCUCCCUGCUCCUCUCUGGGUAAGGAAAGGAAGAGAUGGAGGAUAGAAGAUCAGCUGGAGCUGCCAUGACUGGACAGUUCUCCACUGUAUUCUGAUCAUUGUCUUGAGAUUGGGGCUAGCUAAGGCAGCAGUAAUUCAUCAGGACCCUGAAGCAUAUUGCAUUCAAGACAUGUAUGGAAGUAUAACAUCACAAGGAUAGCAAGUCUAGGGACUGUAGUCUAGCUGGGAGUUUGUUUCCAAUCCGACACUGGAGCACAAGCACUCCCCUGAUGUAUUGGUCAUGUCUGCCCAGCUGAUGAGCAGGAGAAAUAG